rnacentral:lncRNA from 1 species
UUCGCUCUCCUUCUCCCUCUCCCUCUCCCUCUCCCUCCCCCUCCCCCUCCCUCUCCCUCUCCCUCUCCCUCUCCCUCCACGGUCUCCCUCUGAUGCCGAGCCAAGGCUGGACGGUACUGCUGCCAUCUCGGCUCACUGCAGCCUCCCUGCCUGAUUCUCCUGCCUCAGCCUGCCGAGUGCCUGCGAUUGCAGGCGCGCACCGCCACGCCUGACUGGUUUUCGUUUUUUUUUGGUGGAGACGGGGUUUCGCUGUGUUGGCCGGGCUGGUCUCCAGCUCCUAGCCGCGAGUGAUCCGCCAGCCUCGGCCUCCCGAGGUGCCGGGAUUGCAGAUGGAGUCUCGUUCACUCAGUGCUCAAUGGUGCCCAGGCUGGAGUGCAGUGGCGUGAUCUCGGCUCGCUGCAACCACCUCCCAGCCGCCUGCCUUGGCCUCCCGGAGAGCCGAGAUUGCAGCCUCUGCCCGGCCGCCACCCCGUCUGGGAAGUGAGGAGCGUCUCUGCUUGGCCACCCAUCGUCUGGGAUGUGAGGAGCCCCUCUGCCUGGCUGCCCAGUCUGGAAAGUGAGGAGCGUCUCUGCCCGGCCGCCAUCCCAUCUGGGAAGCGAGGAGCGCCUCUUCCCCGCCGCCAUCCCAUCUAGGAAGUGAGGAGCGUCUCUGCCCGGCCGCCCAUCGUCUGAGAUGUGGGGAGCACCUCUGCCCCGCCGCCCUGUCUGGGAUGUGAGGAGCGCCUCUGCUGGGCCGCAGCCCUGUCUGGGAGGUGGGGAGCGUCUCUGCCCGGCCGCUCCGUCUGAGAAGUGAGGAAACCCUCUGCCUGGCAACCGCCCCGUCUGAGAAGUGAGGAGCCCCUCCGUCCGGCAACCACCCCGUCUGGGAAGUGAGGAGCGUCUCCGCCCAGCAGCCACCCCGUCCGGGAGGGAGGUGGGGGGGGUCAGCCCCCCGCCCGGCCAGCCGCCCCGUCCGGGAGGGAGGUGGGGGGAUCAGCCCCCCGCCUGGCCAGUCGCCCCGUCCGGGAGGUGAGGGGCGCCUCUGCCCGGCCGCCCCUACUGGAAAGUGAGGAGCCCCUCUGCCCGGCCAGCCGCCCCGUCCGGGAGGGAGGCGGGGGGGGGGGGGUCGGCCAGCCGCCCCGUCCGGGAGGGAGGUGGGGGGGGGUCAGCCCCCCUUCCGGCCGGCCGCCCCGUCCGGGAGGUGAGGGGCGCCUCUGCCCGGCCGCCCCUACUGGGAAGUGAGGACCCCUCUGCCCGGCCAGCCGCCCCGUCCGGGAGGGAGGUGGGGGGGACAGCCCCCGGCCCAGCCAGCCGCCCUAUCCAGGAGGUGAGGGGCGCCUCUGCCCGGCCGUCCCUACUGGGAAGUGAGGAGCCCCUCUGCCUGGCCAGCCGCCCCGUCCGGGAGGGUGGUGGGGGGGUCAGCCCCCCGCCCGGCCAGCCGCCCCAUCCGGGAGGUGAGGGGCGCUUCUGCCCGGCCGCCCCUACUGGGAAGUGAGGAGCCCCUCUGCCCGGCCACGACCCCGUCUGGGAGGUGUGCCCAGCGGCUCAUUGGGGAUGGGCCAUGAUGACAAUGGCGGUUUUGUGGAAUAGAAAGGCGGGAAGGGUGGGGAAAAAAUUGAGAAAUCGGAUGGUUGCCGGGUCUCUGUGGAUAGAAGUAGACAUGGGAGACUUUUCAUUUUGUUCUGUACUAAGAAAAAUUCUUCUGCCUUGGGAUCCUGUUGAUCUGUGACCUUAUCCCCAACCCUGUGCUCUCUGAAACAUGUGCUGUGUCCACUCAG